rnacentral:lncRNA from 1 species
CUCAUUUUUCCUUGUUCGGGGUUUGAGGUGCCACCUUACAAAAGGAUGGGUGUACGCUCUCUUUUCAGAGUAAGUAGUGUUAAUGGUUUUACCAGAUUUUUUUGGUUGUUGAGUAUAAGUUGUGUGUGUGCUACGGGGAUGAUAUGAAAACUGAACUCUCUCUUUCUGAUGGUUUAGUGGAGAAAACAAAAAUUCUCUGAGUAGCACAAUCUGUGGCAGGUAUUUGGAUUGUUUGGCAUAAAGUCUUUUAUUGAAGUUUGGGGUUUUUUUUUUCUGUUCUAGAUGUGGUUCAUCUCAAAGCCCUUUACACUUUGGAGCCAGGCCUGUUCAAUUUUACAAAUAACACGUUUUGCUUGUAGUCAGGGUGCUGUGACAACAUGAAGAGUUCGAGCUACCUCCCAGGAUGAGUGCAGGUUUUCCUGGUGACAAAUCUCAGGCAUUCAAAGGUUCUGUUAGCAGUGCCAUACUUGUGGGUUUACAGAGAUGGUGUGUCUGGCUGAGAACAAAGGAGCCGUACCAGGAAAGUUGAAGCAUAUCUUCAUUUUCAAGUCCAGGCUAAAAUAAGGUCUGAGGAAAAGAAUGAGCUGCGUGUGAAGGAUAGGAACAGAAAUCAUGAAAGAUCUGUUUGUCCAGGCCAGUGUUUCACCAUAAGAGAUCACUUUAAAAUAAAUGAUGAAAUAAUUCUUUGCAAUUGCAAAUUUACCUUCCUUGCUUACCACAUUGUUAACUGUAGGAGCUGAUACCUGGUUCUUCCACUGUUAACUUGUACUCUGUGUUUGUUCUAGCAAUAAAUGCUCUUUAUGCUA